UCUUCUCUUUUCCUUUUGAUAUUUCUCACAUUUUUAUAGUUUAGCACAUUUAUGGUAGAAAAUUCAUAUCUUGUAAUAGAAACAUCAAAAUGAUUAAUGGUUUAAUUUUAUGGAAACUAGAGUUCACGAUAUAUAGAAUUACUUUUCUAAACAUCAUUCUAGAAAUCUUUUUGAACGAAACAAGAUGAGAGACCCCAGUACUGAUUUAUCAUCUUUAAAUUUCCACUUUAUAUGUUAUUUUCACGAGGAUUAGGGUGUCGUCGGCUCCAAUCUUGUUCGUUCUCUCCAUAUCAUUUUCUGCCACUGCAGUCCCUCUUUCUCACGGGCUUGAAUUUGAUGCUGUUGUCUCAACCACUAGACUGACACACAACACUGCCGCCUCCGCGCUCUCUGCCAUAUUACACUAUUCUGAUCUUCGUGUAGUGUACUGCAUAAAUGUAAGGAGGAUAAGUGUAACACCCCGUAUUCAAGUACGUGUAUUGGCGUAUUCAAAUAAGUAAUUCGAAAAGACGGGAAGUCCAUUUGGGACUAGUAUUGAAGGUUGACAGUCAGGCACAGGUACCUCAGCUCAUACACCGCAUAAGUAGGAGCCAGGAUAUCCAGCUGCUUUUGGUGAGCUCCAGUUUGCUUCGGAGCUUUUCGUGUCAUAUCCAGUCACUUUUGGUAUUGUAUAGAAGUUAGUUAUAUGGCGGGGUGUGUCCCGACCUUAGUUAAACUCUGUGUAUUGUCUAGAGGCUUUGUAGACCUAAUGUACAGUCAAAGUGGUGUUUUGUUAAUAGAUGUGAUGGCUUGAAUGGCCAAGUAUUGUAUAUACAUAUAUAUGUGUGCUCGACCUUAUACAGGUGAUUAUUUCCUUUUAUAUGCGAUAUGAUGCUGUCCGAAUUUUGGGUUGUUAUAGAGGUAUGCAUGGGAAGUAUAAGGUUAUGAGCUGGUUCUCCUGGGCCUCCUCGGUUAUGGGUGUCGGUCCGCCCCAAUAAGAUUUGAGGCAUAACAAUAAGUUUAUCUAAAAAAUGAUAGUGUGAAGGUUUGCUGAUACGCCGCUCAAUAAAUUUUUGAUAAUUGCUAACACGUUACCAAACCAACCGAUAUCUUAUUAGUCAACUAGCGGAUUAGUACAUUUAAAAACCACUAUACAAUAAUCCAAACUAUUUAAUAUGAUUAUCCAUCCGGUCCACCUGAUAAGUAACCCAAUAGUUUAGGGCCAUUUUAAUUCCACAUUGGUUGGAAAUGGGCUAGCGGUUUGCUUAUAUGGACUUGCACAAUUCUCCCCUCAUGAGAUAGAUUUUGGGG